UUUAUUUUGAUAUUAUUUAUUAUAGGAACCACUACUGUUCUUAUGCAAGAGAAAAUAUAAUCUAACCAAAAAUAACCAAGUACCUACUCCUAUAACGCAAAAAAAGAAAUGCAAAACAACUUUUAUGCAUACUCCGCAUGCUAUAGUUCAAGGAUCAGCAAUGGCAAAAUUUUCCUGAGGAAAGAGAGUAUUUUAAUAUAGUGCAAAGCUAUGUGUUUUUCCACAGAAAAAAAAAAAAGAUUGUUUUACCAGAGACACCUCCAUUUGUUUCCCUUAUAAGAAAAGCUACUAAAAAAGAUUCCUUAUCGAAUGGCAAGUCUCCCAUUACUGAGAAUUUCAGAAGAAAGUUUUAAAUGCAC
rnacentral:lncRNA from 1 species